AGCAGUGAGGAAUAUUGGUCAAUGGGCGCAAGCCUGAACCAGCCAUGCCGCGUGAAGGAAUAAGGCCCUAUGGGUCGUAAACUUCUUUUAACCGGGGACAAGGGCGCGGUCGUGAUGCGCGCUUGAGGGUACCGGUGGAAUAAGCGUCGGCUAACUCCGUGCCAGCAGCCGCGGUAAUACGGAGGACGCGAGCGUUAUCCGGAUUCAUUGGGUUUAAAGGGUGCGCAGGCGGCCUGUCAAGUCAGCGGUGAAAGCCCGGGGCCCAACCCCGGAAGUGCCGUUGAUACUGUCGGGCUGGAAUGCGGUCGAGGCGGGCGGAACGUGGCGUGUAGCGGUGAAAUGCGUAGAUAUGCCACAGAACGCCGAUAGCGGAGGCAGCUCGCCAGGCCUGCAUUGACGCUCGGGCACGAAAGCGUGGGGAUCGAACAGGAUUAGAUACCCUAGUA
rnacentral:rRNA from 1 species